rnacentral:lncRNA from 1 species
UACUCGCUGGGUUCCGCCCCCUCCUAACCCUCCUCCUAUGACGGAGGAAGAGAAGGCCGUAGCCUUGGCACGACGGCUCGAGGAUCCUCCAAAGUGCCACUGCGGAGAGCAAGCCGUGAUAAACCCACGAAAUGAACAAGAGUUCAUUUGUCCUCUGCAUCGUGAAGUAAGUUUUAAGUUAACCUUGAAAUGUCAUGUCCUAUAUGUGUGUUCUAAUGUUUUGACUUUGUAGGAUCGUGAUUUUCUAAAGUGCUGUUUCACGGAGUGGGUCUAUGGUCCAAAGAGCCAUUGGCCAGAGCUAGAGAAGGAGGAGGUGCUAGAGUGGAAGAAGAAGAGGAUGUCUACUGCACCUCAUGUGAUGUGUAAAUGUGGUGUCGAAGCUAGCUAUG